GCAUGCGGGUGGUUCAUUAAGUCAGAUGUGAAAGCCCGGGGCUCAACCUCGGAACUGCAUUUGAAACUGGUGAACUAGAGUACUGUAGAGGGGGGUAGAAUUUCAGGUGUAGCGGUGAAAUGCGUAGAGAUCUGAAGGAAUACCAGUGGCGAAGGCGGCCCCCUGGACAGAUACUGACACUCAGAUGCGAAAGCGUGGGGAGCAAACAGGAUUAGAUACCCUGGUAGUCCACGCCGUAAACGAUGUCUACUUGGAGGUUGUGGCCUUGAGCCGUGGCUUUCGGAGCUAACGCGUUAAGUAGACCGCCUGGGGAGUACGGUCGCAAGAUUAAAACUCAAAUGAAUUGACGGGGGCCCGCACAAGCGGUGGAGCAUGUGGUUUAAUUCGAUGCAACGCGAAGAACCUUACCUACUCUUGACAUCCAGAGAAGCCAGCGGAGACGCAGGUGUGCCUUCGGGAGCUCUGAGACAGGUGCUGCAUGGCUGUCGUCAGCUCGUGUUGUGAAAUGUUGGGUUAAGUCCCGCAACGAGCGCAACCCUUAUCCUUGUUUGCCAGCGAGUAAUGUCGGGAACUCCAGGGGAGACUGCCGGUGAUAA
rnacentral:rRNA from 1 species